CUCUAAUGAGACUGCCGGUGGACAAAUCGGAGGAAAGUGGGGAUGACGUCAAGUCCUCAUGGCCCUUAUAGGUGGGGCUACACACGUCAUACAAUGGCCGGUACAAAGGGUCGCAAACCCGCAGGGGGAGCCAAUCCAUCAAAGCCGGUCGUAGUCCGGAUCGCAGUCUGCAACUCGACUGCGUGAAGUCGGAAUCGCUAGUAAUCGUGGAUCAGCAUGUCACGGUGAAUACGUUCCCGGGUCUU
rnacentral:rRNA from 1 species